AUGACUCUCGGCAAUGGAUAUCUCGGCUCUCGCAUCAAUGAAGAACGUAGUGAAAUGUGAUACUUAGUUUGAAUUACAGAAUCCUGUGAACCAUCUAGUCAUUGAACGCAAGUUGCGCCAGAAGCCAUCAGGCCGAGGGCACGUCUGCCUGGACGUCA
rnacentral:rRNA from 1 species